GACGAACGCNGGCGGCGUGCUUAACACAUGCAAGUCGAACGAAGAGCGAUGGAAGCUUGCUUCUAUCAAUCUUAGUGGCGAACGGGUGAGUAACGCGUAAUCAACCUGCCCUUCAGAGGGGGACAACAGUUGGAAACGACUGCUAAUACCGCAUACGAUCUAAUCUUGGCAUCGAGGAUAGAUGAAAGGUGGCCUCUACAUGUAAGCUAUCACUGAAGGAGGGGAUUGCGUCUGAUUAGCUAGUUGGAGGGGUAACGGCCCACCAAGGCGAUGAUCAGUAGCCGGUCUGAGAGGAUGAACGGCCACAUUGGGACUGAGACACGGCCCAGACUCCUACGGGAGGCAGCAGUGGGGAAUCUUCCGCAAUGGACGAAAGUCUGACGGAGCAACGCCGCGUGAGUGAUGACGGCCUUCGGGUUGUAAAGCUCUGUUAAUCGGGACGAAAGGCCUUCUUGCGAAUAGUGAGAAGGAUGACGNAC
rnacentral:rRNA from 1 species